UGAGGACUCAGAAACACUACCACACAUAUAAGUGCAUCGAGACUGACUCUUCUGUCACUGUGAGAAGCUGGGCGUGAAAGUGUUUAUCUGGGGCUUUGGGAUUAUCAAUGAGCAAAUUACCUCUUAUCCAGUAGAGGGUCUCAGGCAGACUGUGUGCGUCUGCCAGGGACUGAAGACUCCCUCUCUAGGGCUUAGGAAGGAUGGGAGAAAUGAGGGACAAAUGACUGCACUUUAUUUUGAUGUAGUCUAUUCUUAAUGGCUCAUUAUUGAUACUUCUUUUUGAUAUGAGGCCCCUCCUCUUUUCCUUUGGAGUAUCAGUGUGAGUGUGUUUUGUUUGAGAGUGGUGGCUCAUGCUGAAAGAGGCAGAGAGCUCUUCUCCCAGGAGGAUUCGUCUCACUACCAGCCCUUCAUUGCUCUGCCCGGGUGACUUUUCCUGCAGCUGCACCCAUGACUCUCCAGAACUGCCUGCUGCACAGAUAUGGACUGUAUUACUUCUUGGCAUUGCUGACACUUCUCAUGUCACAUGCUGACGGGCUGCAAUGUUAUGCCUGUAACAUCGUGCAUAACCAGCGGUAUGUGGACGUAGGCUGUUCCAACCCCGAAGUCAUCACCUGCUCCCACUCCCACAAGGGCUUCAAGCAUCGCUUCUGCAUCAGAACCGAAAGUGUUGCAUUGGGAGUCAUGCUGACUAGUGGCUGCGCGACAGCACGACACUGCCACACGCAGGAGCUGCCGGGAGUCAACAUCCACUGCUGCAACUCUGAUCUGUGCAACAGCGCCACCCGCUGGCGGACGACCACCCUGCUGCCUAUUUGCUCAUUGACGUUUUCUCUAUUGUUUCAAAGGCUGAUACUGUGGACGAAAUAACUUUGAAAUUUGAACGUCACGACAAAAACACGGCAGCUACUGUACGCUUCCGAUGCAUGACAUACAGGAUGAAACUUGAAAAUAUAACUAUAAAAGAUGUGAGCACAGACCCUGGAGUAUUAGGCCUAGGUCUAUGUGUGGAUAAACAAAUCCUUCAUGUAGCCUAGUAUUGCUCUCUUUGGAUAAUUAGGCAAGGCAAGUUUAUUUAUAAUUAGCUAAAUAAUUCCCCCCAAAAAAGGGACUUUUAUAUGGAUAACAAGAUUUUUUUUUUAACUAUUUGUUUUAUUUUGAAGCAUUUUGCUCAGCCAGAAAUGAGCAAUGAUGCUCUUUACAAUAUGUGUGAAAAAAUGUGUUUAGGAAUUGUAUCCUAUUUAAGGCCCAAAUGUUCUCAAAAAAGUGGUAGGGCUGAUACUGUGGACGAAGUAACUUUGAAAUUUGAACGUCACGACAAAAACACGGCAGCUACGCUUCCGACGCAUGACAUACAGGAUGAAACUUGAAAAUAUAACUAUAAAAGAUGUGAGCGCAGACCCUGGAGUAUUAGGCCUAGGUCUAUGUUUGGAUAAACCAAUUCUUCACGUAGCCUAGUAUUGUUCUCUUUGGAUAAUUAGGCAAGGCAAGUUUAUUUAUAUAGCAUUUAUAUAGUUUAUAAUUAGCUAAAUCAUUCCCCCCCAAAAAAGGACUUUUAUAUGGACAACAAGAAUUUUUUUUUUUUUUUUGUAACUAUUUGUUUUAUUUUGAAGCAUUUUGCUCAGCCAAAAAUGAGAAAUGAUGCUCUUUACAAUAUGUGUGAAAAAAAUGUGUUCAGGAAUUGUAUCCUAUUUAAGGCCCAAAUGUUCUCAAAAAAGUGGUAAUGGAAAUUAUACUGACCUUUUUAUUGUUGUGAGUAUUAUUAUUUAGAUAUUUUCAUACAUAUUUUUGUAAUUUCUUUUAACCAACUGAUCUCAAGCUGAUUUUAAGUGCAUGUGCUUAUGAAGUCUGUCACUCAAGUUCAAACGUC
ensembl:lncRNA